rnacentral:lncRNA from 1 species
GCUCUUGUUGGAAUCCGACAAGGUGCCAAUUCAGCAGGGCCAAGCAUAAUCGUUUAGGUGGAAUAGCUAUCCUCUUUAAACGGCCGACGGUAUGUUUUUCCAAACAUUCAUUCCCGCCGAAUUGUAUUCUUCUAAAUAACACCAAAAUAUGUGCACGACGAACGAACAACUGUCGUACGACACACAAUCAAUGUUGUGCUAGCAUCGUACGAAAUUUGGUGUUCUUGAGAUAAUCGUGCGACUGUAUUACGAGUGUCUUGCGACAGUCGUGAGAUUGUCGAACGACAGUCGUGCGACGAUUGUUUUAUUUAAAUUGUUUAUGUUAGUACCCACGACAAUUUUUGUAUCGUACAACAGUCGCACGACUGUGGUAAGACACUCUCACGACAGCCACAUGACAGUGACACGACUUUGUCGUAAAGCUAAAAAGGUGCAUGUCAAAUUUUCGUCCCACGACACACGACAGCGCCACAAUGCUCAAAAUAUCGUGCAAAUGUCGUGCGAUUGUCGUACAACGAUCACAGAUGACCCGCGAUUUGAACAAAUUUCAUGUCGUGGCGCUUCAUAGAUGUGUCGUAGGUUCGUGGUGACCAGGGCUUAACAUCUAAAAAUCUUCUCCUGUGAAACUAUUGU